AUUGAACGCUGGCGGCAGGCCUAACACAUGCCAGUCGAACGGUAACAGGAAGAAGCUUGCUUCUUUGCUGACGAGUGGCGGACGGGUGAGUAAUGUCUGGGAAACUGCCUGAUGGAGGGGGAUAACUACUGGAAACGGUAGCUAAUACCGCAUAACGUCGCAAGACCAAAGAGGGGGACCUUCGGGCCUCUUGCCAUCGGAUGUGCCCAGAUGGGAUUAGCUAGUAGGUGGGGUAACGGCUCACCUAGGCGACGAUCCCUAGCUGGUCUGAGAGGAUGACCAGCCACACUGGAACUGAGACACGGUCCAGACUCCUACGGGAGGCAGCAGUGGGGAAUAUUGCACAAUGGGCGCAAGCCUGAUGCAGCCAUGCCGCGUGUAUGAAGAAGGCCUUCGGGUUGUAAAGUACUUUCAGCGGGGAGGAAGGGAGUAUAGUUAAUACCUUUGCUCAUUGACGUUACCCGCAGAAGAAGCACCGGCUAACUCCGUG
rnacentral:rRNA from 1 species